UACGUAGGGUGCAAGCGUUGUCCCGGAAUUAUUGGGCGUAAAAAGCUCGUAGGCGGUUUGUCGCGUCUGCUGUGAAAACCCGAGGCUCAACCUCGGGCCUGCAGUGGGUACGGGCAGACUAGAGUGCGGUAGGGGGAGAUUGGAAUUCCUGGUGUAGCGGUGAAAUGCGUAGAGAUCGGAAAGAACACCAACGGCGAAAGCACUCUGCUGGGCCGACACUGACACUGAGAGACGAAAGCUAGGGGGAGCGAAUGGG
rnacentral:rRNA from 1 species